AAAAUGGGACCGUUCUGUGUUUAUGGAAUAGACCACCGGAGGAAAAUAUAGGCAGGGUCAUGUCUUUUCAUUCUUUGUUGAGGGGAGGGUCACCCAACAUGUUUUGAGAUAUUU